rnacentral:rRNA from 1 species
UACGUAGGGUGCAAGCGUUAUCCGGAAUUAUUGGGCGUAAAGAGCGCGUAGGCGGUCCGAUAAGUCGGCUGUGAAAGUCAGGGGCUCAACCCUUGAAAGCCGGCCGAUACUGUCGGACUAGAGUCCGGAAGAGGCAAGUGGAAUUCCCGGUGUAGCGGUGAAAUGCGCAGAUAUCGGGAGGAACACCAAUGGCGAAGGCAGCUUGCUGGGACGGUACUGACGCUGAGGCGCGAAAGCGUGGGGAGCAAACAGG